rnacentral:rRNA from 1 species
AUGUGGGGGCGAAUGUGGAGCUCCGGACGCGGCUCCGGCAGCCGAUCCGGCCGUGAGAGGGACCCGGAGCGCGAGCAGCGCGUCCGGUCCGACGGCGCGAGGAAGCGCGGCGCGCGGAGGUGGACGAACCGCGGGGUUUCGCCGCCGGCGAGCUACGACCGCCGCGAGACGGUGGAGUACGACCGCCGGCGCGCGUCGUUCUCCUCCGCGCGGUCUUCGUACGCCGGAUCCUCCUCCUCCUCCGCGAGCUUCCUCCCCGUGAAGAGGGAGUGGUCGGACAAGGAGGAGCCGGAGCCGCCGGCACCGUUCCCCUUCACGCCGGUGAAGGAGGAGCCCGAGGACCCCGCUCCGCUCGGCCGCCGCGGAGUCGUCGGGCCCGAGGACUUCGUCGCGGAGUUCGACGCCGUCGUCGCCGCCAUCGCCGAGCGGAGCGUGCGCGAGGAGGAGCGCCGGUGCCACGCCGAGGAGCUCGAAGCCCUCGAGUGGCGACAGGCGGUCGCCGCCAACCUCGCCGCCAAGGAGAAGGCUGAGGAGUGGCGCCGCAUCCGCGCGGAGCAGGCGGAGAAGUUCAUCGAUCUCUGCAGCUCCGGCGAGGACGAGUGA